rnacentral:rRNA from 1 species
GAUGAACGCUGGCGGCGUGCCUAAUGCAUGCAAGUCGAGCGAACGGACGAGAAGCUUGCUUCUCUGAUGUUAGCGGCGGACGGGUGAGUAACACGUGGAUAACCUACCUAUAAGACUGGGAUAACUUCGGGAAACCGGAGCUAAUACCGGAUAAUAUUUUGAACCGCAUGGUUCAAAAGUGAAAGACGGUCUUGCUGUCACUUAUAGAUGGAUCCGCGCUGCAUUAGCUAGUUGGUAAGGUAACGGCUUACCAAGGCAACGAUGCAUAGCCGACCUGAGAGGGUGAUCGGCCACACUGGAACUGAGACACGGUCCAGACUCCUACGGGAGGCAGCAGUAGGGAAUCUUCCGCAAUGGGCGAAAGCCUGACGGAGCAACGCCGCGUGAGUGAUGAAGGUCUUCGGAUCGUAAAACCCUGUUAUUAGGGAAGAACAUAUGUGUAAGUAACUGUGCACAUCUUGACGGUACCUAAUCAGAAAGCCACGGCUAACUACGUG